UACGUAGGAGGCAAGCGUUGUCCGGAGUUACUGGGCGUAAAGCGCACGCAGGCGGUCGCAUCAGUCUGGGGUGACAGUUCCCGGCUUAACCGGAAAAGGACUCUGGAAACUGUGCGACUUGAGGGCUUCAGAGGGAUGUGGAAUUCCGGGUGUAGCGGUGGAAUGCGUAGAGAUCCGGAAGAACACCGGUGGCGAAGGCGGCCCGCUGGGCCAUGGCUGACACUGAGGCGCGACAGCGUGGGGAGCAAACAGG
rnacentral:rRNA from 1 species